rnacentral:rRNA from 1 species
CCUACGGGGGGCUGCAGUGAGGAAUAUUGGUCAAUGGACGAGAGUCUGAACCAGCCAAGUAGCGUGAAGGAUGACUGCCCUAUGGGUUGUAAACUUCUUUUGUCAGGGAGCAACGCCGGCUACGUGUAGCCGGACUGAGAGUACCUGAAGAAAAAGCAUCGGCUAACUCCGUGCCAGCAGCCGCGGUAAUACGGAGGAUGCGAGCGUUAUCCGGAUUUAUUGGGUUUAAAGGGUGCGUAGGCGGAAUGCCAAGUCAGCGGUAAAAUCGCGGGGCUCAACCUCGCUCCGCCGUUGAAACUGGCGUUCUUGAGUGGGCGAGAAGUAUGCGGAAUGCGUGGUGUAGCGGUGAAAUGCAUAGAUAUCACGCAGAACUCCGAUUGCGAAGGCAGCAUACCGGCGCCCAACUGACGCUGAAGCACGAAAGCGUGGGUAUCGAACAGGAUUAGAUACCCUUGUAGUC